ACAAAAAGUUAUGCCCAUUUUACCGAAGCCUGUCUUCACUGGAAAUUUAGUGCAUUCGACGGAAACGUCGAUAUAAUCGACGUUUCGUCAAUCUAAACGACGUUUCGUCGAUCGAAUCGACGAUCCGUCGAAUGAACCGUCGAUUGGGAAUAAAGGAGAGGUGUCUCACUGGAAAUUUGGCCAAUUCAACGGAGGAGAUCGACGUUUCGUCGAUCUAAUCGACGAAACGUCGAAUGAGCCGUCGAUUGGAAGUACGUUUUCGGCUGAUCUAACUUCGGGAGGCCAUAACCCUAUUAUAAGUUGGGAAUUUGGAAAAACGUAUAACAUGAAAGUUGUAGAUAAUUGAAAUAGCUUUCCAACGGUAUAUUAUGGGCCUCGAGGAGACAUCUGGUUAGGGAGAUAUGAACGUUUUAAGACAGAAAGGUCAAGCUGGACAGUGGACUUGGUCCAACCCGAACUCAAGUUGGGUCAGACCCAUUUCCACUUAAUAUUUAAGGGAAAUGUCCAACCCUAGCAGCCUCCUCCCCUCAUAUUUUCAGAUUUUAGAGAGAGAGAAAGGAUAGUUAGAGAGAGAAAGGAGAGGAUCCAUCAAGUUGAAGGCCUCAAAUCCCAAGGCUCGUGAAGGAUAAAGUGUAGUACAAGUUCUUGCCGUCGUUCUAAGCUACAAAUCAAACUUUGGAAGUUGAUUUCGUGGUGGAUGCUCACAAAAGAUCAAAGUUGAAAGGGGUGACGAACAUUGUAUUACGCUCAAAGGCAGGAAUUAAGGUAUGUGAGGCUAACUAUCUACGUUAGGGAAUGUUCAUAAUUCUCCCUACGCCUCAUUCUUCAUACUUGUUAGCAAUUUGACUCAGAAUAUAGUUUAGCCCUAGUUUCAUGAUAUGAUAUAGAACUGUUAUCUUCUAAGGUUGCAGUUACAGAAUUCGUUCAUGGUUGUCACUUUGAACAUCAUGAACUCAACACGUAAUCUUUAUAGACUUAUGCAUUAUUAUCACAUGAGUCUCAGUCAGUGUAUAACCAGUUAUUUGCAAGAGUCCCAUAAUCAGAAACAGUUAUCAUGCUAUCAGAUAUAGCCAGUCUCAGUUUUGUAAAUUGUUAAUGUUGAACACCUGUAUCUGUACUUUUGGGCCCUAGGCCACAGUUUAUGCAUACGUAUUGCUUGGGCUAGAGGCCACAGUUUUUGUGCACAUUAUUUGGGCCCCAGGCCACAGUUAUAUUUACAGUUUUACAGGUGAUUCUUCAUUAAGAACAGGGAGUACUUCAAUUUCUUGCUUUCCUAUUUAGUACAGUUACAGUUAUCAAUUUUAGUUUCAGUUCCAGUAUUUUAUUGCUUCAGUUGCUUUACAUACCAAUACAAUUCAAAUGUACUGAUGUCCCUUUUUAAGGUUGACGACUCAGCUAUUUAGGAGUGUACGUAUCAGCUACUGGUGAGCCCCAAAUUCCUUCGGGGCGUUGUCAUCUAUCUAGUUAAUUCAGUUUAUAGGCAGUUUUAUUAUUCAGUACUCUUAGAGGCUUCAUAGACACAGUUCAGAUAGUCAGAUAUUUGUUAUGUUAGCCUUGUAGACAGUUAUACUUAGUCAUUCAGUUGUUUUGGUUUAGCCAUGUUAGCUACUUUCAGAUAUAUUUCAGAUUGUCUAAGUAUUUCCGCAUUAUGAUUUCAGUCAGACCUUUAGUAUAUCAGCAUGUGUUUAAUUGUUUCCACAUUCAGUUAUGUUUUGAUAUCACAUGUUGAUUCAGUCAGCCAGUUGGUUCGCUCGAUCACAUGCAGUCAGGCACCGGGUGCCGUGUUACGUCCAGGCCCAGGUUCGGGGCGUGACAAUUCUUUUCUGAAGUAUCCAUACAUAAGUUGUGUCAACGUCACACUAACCCAUCAAUUUGGGAUCCAAAUUCUAGAUUUUCCUCUGGAGGUAUCAGGAAGGAUUUGGAAUGGAAUAAUAUCGAUCCAUACACAAGAAAAGGUUACCGAAGUGAACAAGCUCAAGAAGAAAUUAGGUAACCAACAUCAAAUACUCCAAAUUGCUCAAAAUAACAUAGCAGAUGAACCCAUCAAAAGUUCUUGGACCAUGAUUGAGUGGACCAACAAGAAAGAAAAAGUACUGAAAUGAACACAAGCAUGAUGAAAUAGGGCCGUCUUUGUUUUAGGUUCUAGUAUUCUUUUUGUGGACCAAAAAGAAAGAAAACAAAAGUACUGAUGUUUGUAAACGGAAAGAUGUGAAUAAAGAGGACUGUCUUGUGUUUUGGAUUC